UAUGGCCACAUCAUGUUUAAAACACAGAUUCCCGUACGAUCACCAAAGUUAAGCAAUGUCGAGCCAGGUCAGUACCUAGAUGGGUCACCACUUGGGAAUUAGUUGUGU